AUUCUUCAGUGGCUGUUUUCCUCCUGCUUAGAUCAACCAAUCAAGCCUAUUGUUCGGGUAGCAGAGAAGGCAGAGGAUUAAAUGGUCAGGAUCACCAAGUCAGUGGGGAGGACAACUACACUACAGAUUUGGCCACAACAAUGAACUUAUGACAAUUCCACCCCAUUUAUAACUUCAAUAAGCAUCCAUUGAGCAUCUACUAGGAAUCUACGAGGAACUCUAUAAGAAACUCCAAUACUUUGGCCACCUGAUGCGAAGAACCAACUCAUUGGAAAAGACCCUGAUGCUGGGAAAGAUUGAAGGCAGGAGGAGAAGGGGACAACAGAGGAUGAGAUGGUUGGAUGGCAUCACUGACUCGAUGGAUGUAUUUUGUGAUGGUCUCAUUGGUUUUGACAAUGGAUAGCAUAUCUGGUAAGAAGAGAAAGACACCCUUGACUGUUCAGCUUCUUUCUAGCAGAAUAUCCUGUAAUGCUCUCUGACUAAAUCAUGGCAUUCUCCCCAUGUGAUCUUCAAGCAUCUCCUGAGAGCUUGCUAGAAAUGCAAAUUCUUGAACCUCUCCAGACUUACUGGACAAGGGAUAUCUUUAACAAUUCUGCUAAAAUUUAGAGACACUGUUAGGAGGUACAGAGCCUACAUAUUGCUAAGAUUCAAACCCCUGGAAUACCACCUCCUAAAUAUUGUGACCUGGGUAAUUCACUUAACUGUUCUGUGCUGUGACUUCUGAAAUAAUUAGAGGAUCAUAUAGUACACACAUAGUACUUAACAUCUAAGGUUAUUGUGAAGAGUAAAGAACAUAAUGACUUUAAAGUGUUUAAUCUGGCAUGUUGUAAGUGCUGUAUAAUUACUAGCUAUUUUAUUAUAUUUAUUAUUAGUAGUAG
ensembl:lncRNA